rnacentral:rRNA from 1 species
UACGUAGGGGGCAAGCGUUGUCCGGAUUUAUUGGGCGUAAAGAGCGUGUAGGCGGCCUGAAAGGUCAGCUGUGAAAACUCGAGGCUCAACCCUGGAAAGCCGGUGGAAACUGUCGAGCUCGAGUCCGGAAGAGGCGAGUGGAAUUCCUGGUGUAGCGGUGAAAUGCGCAGAUAUCAGGAGGAACACCGGUGGCGAAGGCGGGUCUCUGGGCCGAUACUGACGCUGAGGAGCGAAAGCGUGGGGAGCGAACAGG